rnacentral:hammerhead_ribozyme from 1 species
GUACUGCUGAAGGGUCCCAAACUAGGACGAAACAGCUGGCUGUCCAGUAC